GAGGACGCUGACGUGAGUUUGCUCUUUAGUCCCCGAAUCGAAUCCGGGGUGUCUCCUGGGAACGCAACUUGGGGGCAAUUUCGGAUGGUCCCCGACGGGAGAGAGGAGCAAAGAAAUUCAGUCAUCCGGAAAGCAGAACGGGAAAGCCAGUGUGGCCGAAGCUAUUAUUUUCCUGCAAGGUGGCGUGCGUUGGGAGGAUGGAGUGGGAAAGGAUCCUGAUGAUCGUGAUUGAGGUGGUUUGAAAGGUUCUGGAGGUUCAUUUGAAGAGUGGAUUGAUUCCCGGGACACUAUGGAUGAAACUCACUGUGGCUCCACGCAUAGCCACAUAGCAUGGGGCUUGAACUCAUGACCUGAGAUAGCGACCUGAGCCAACAUCAAGAGUUGAAUACUUAACCAACUGAGCCACCAAGGUGCACCACUACCAUUGACUUUAGAGUGAGGUUAUUUGUACUGAAUAACUGUAAUGAAUAUAAUUCUUUGGAGAGGUGAAAUAAAAUGCUCCGUCCUUUGAUAAUAUAUCAUGGAAUAAGACUGUCUGUGUAAUGUGGU